GAUGAAGAACGUAGCGAAAUGCGAUAAGUAAUGUGAAUUGCAGAAUUCAGUGAAUCAUCGAAUCUUUGAACGCACAUUGCGACCGCCAGUAUUCUGGCGGGCAUGCCUGUUCGAGCGUCAUUACAACCCUCAAGCCCCCCGGCUUGGUGUUGGGGACCGGCCACCGGUGCCCUGCUGCUUCCGCGGCAGGCGCACCCGGCCGCCCCCGAAAUGAAUUGGCGGCCCCGUCGCGGCCACCCUCUGCGUAGUAGCACACAUCUCGCAGCUUGAGCGCGGCGCGGCCACUGCCGUAAAACGCACCAACUUUUUUUACAGUUGACCUCGAAUCAGGUAGGAAUACCCGCUGAACUUAAGCAUAUCAAUAAGCGGAGGA
rnacentral:misc_RNA from 1 species